rnacentral:rRNA from 1 species
AUGGGGAAGGAGGCGCUGGACUACGUGCUGGUGCCUCUGGGGCUGGUGCUGAUGCUGGGAUACCACGCGUGGCUUCUCCUCCGUAUCCAGCGUCGCCCUGCGACCACCGUCAUCGGCGUCAACGCCAUCAACCGCCGCAUCUGGGUCCGCCACAUCAUGGAGGUCCGUCCGCCGUUAACCAUGCACCCACCCAUUUCCUGCGAUCGAUCCAUCAUCGCGUUCACCCUCUACUCGCAGAACCAUUGUUUCUCCGGAGUUUUCUUUUACCGAUUCACCUUCGAAAUUUCGGUUUUUAUUUAUUCAACUGAUCAAGAUCGAUCGGCGCAUGCAGGAGCCGUCCGGGAAGCACGCGGUGCUGGCGGUGCAGACGAUCCGGAACAAUAUCAUGGCGUCGACGCUGCUGGCGUCCACGGCCAUCACACUCAGCUCGCUCAUCGCCGUGCUCAUGUCCCGCGGCGGCGGGGAGAGCCAGGAGCUGGCGGCGGGGGCCUCCUCCCGGACGCGCCGCUGGUGGUGGGCGCCACGGGGGAGGCGGCUCUGUCGGCCAAGUUCUUCGCCAUCCUCGUCUGCUUCCUGGUGGCCUUCCUCCUCAACGUGCAGUCGAUCCGGUACUACAGCCACACCAGCACCCUGGUGAACGUCCCGAUCCGAGCACACCGCCUCCGCCGCCCGGGCCAUGCCGUGGACUACGUCACCGGCACGCUCAAUCGCGGCAGCUACUUCUGGUCGCUCGGCGUGCGGGCAUUCUACUUCUCCUGCCCGGUCUUCCUCUGGCUCUUCGGGCCCAUCCCCAUGUUCGCCGCCUGCGUCGUCAUGGUCUGCGUGCUCUAUUUCCUCGACGUGUGCGAGGACUGGGAGGAGGAACAGGGCUUGAGUGGUGGUGAUGAGACGUCGGAACGAGGGAAGGAUGUAGGAGACACGCAAGUUUAG